GGGUUGUGAGGUUAAGCGACUAAGCGUACACGGUGGAUGCCCUGGCAGUCAGAGGCGAUGAAGGACGUGCUAAUCUGCGAUAAGCGUCGGUAAGGUGAUAUGAACCGUUAUAACCGGCGAUUUCCGAAUGGGGAAACCCAGUGUGAUUCGUCACACUAUCAUUAACUGAAUCCAUAGGUUAAUGAGGCGAACCGGGGGAACUGAAACAUCUAAGUACCCCGAGGAAAAGAAAUCAACCGAGAUUCCCCCAGUAGCGGCGAGCGAACGGGGAGGAGCCCAGAGCCUGAAUCAGUGUGUGUGUUAGUGGAAGCGUCUGGAAAGGCGUGCGAUACAGGGUGACAGCCCCGUACACAAAAAUGCACAUACUGUGAGCUCGAUGAGUAGGGCGGGACACGUGGUAUCCUGUCUGAAUAUGGGGGGACCAUCCUCCAAGGCUAAAUACUCCUGACUGACCGAUAGUGAACCAGUACCGUGAGGGAAAGGCGAAAAGAACCCCGGCGAGGGGAGUGAAAAAGAACCUGAAACCGUGUACGUACAAGCAGUGGGAGCCUCUUAAUGGGGUGACUGCGUACCUUUUGUAUAAUGGGUCAGCGACUUAUAUUCUGUAGCAAGGUUAACCGAAUAGGGGAGCCGAAGGGAAACCGAGUCUUAACUGGGCGUUAAGUUGCAGGGUAUAGACCCGAAACCCGGUGAUCUAGCCAUGGGCAGGUUGAAGGUUGGGUAACACUAACUGGAGGACCGAACCGACUAAUGUUGAAAAAUUAGCGGAUGACUUGUGGCUGGGGGUGAAAGGCCAAUCAAACCGGGAGAUAGCUGGUUCUCCCCGAAAGCUAUUUAGGUAGCGCCUCGUGAAUUCAUCUCCGGGGGUAGAGCACUGUUUCGGCAAGGGGGUCAUCCCGACUUACCAACCCGAUGCAAACUGCGAAUACCGGAGAAUGUUAUCACGGGAGACACACGGCGGGUGCUAACGUCCGUCGUGAAGAGGGAAACAACCCAGACCGCCAGCUAAGGUCCCAAAGUCAUGGUUAAGUGGGAAACGAUGUGGGAAGGCCCAGACAGCCAGGAUGUUGGCUUAGAAGCAGCCAUCAUUUAAAGAAAGCGUAAUAGCUCACUGGUCGAGUCGGCCUGCGCGGAAGAUGUAACGGGGCUAAACCAUGCACCGAAGCUGCGGCAGCGACACUAUGUGUUGUUGGGUAGGGGAGCGUUCUGUAAGCCUGUGAAGGUGUACUGUGAGGUAUGCUGGAGGUAUCAGAAGUGCGAAUGCUGACAUAAGUAACGAUAAAGCGGGUGAAAAGCCCGCUCGCCGGAAGACCAAGGGUUCCUGUCCAACGUUAAUCGGGGCAGGGUGAGUCGACCCCUAAGGCGAGGCCGAAAGGCGUAGUCGAUGGGAAACAGGUUAAUAUUCCUGUACUUGGUGUUACUGCGAAGGGGGGACGGAGAAGGCUAUGUUGGCCGGGCGACGGUUGUCCCGGUUUAAGCGUGUAGGCUGGUUUUCCAGGCAAAUCCGGAAAAUCAAGGCUGAGGCGUGAUGACGAGGCACUACGGUGCUGAAGCAACAAAUGCCCUGCUUCCAGGAAAAGCCUCUAAGCAUCAGGUAACAUCAAAUCGUACCCCAAACCGACACAGGUGGUCAGGUAGAGAAUACCAAGGCGCUUGAGAGAACUCGGGUGAAGGAACUAGGCAAAAUGGUGCCGUAACUUCGGGAGAAGGCACGCUGAUAUGUAGGUGAAGUCCCUCGCGGAUGGAGCUGAAAUCAGUCGAAGAUACCAGCUGGCUGCAACUGUUUAUUAAAAACACAGCACUGUGCAAACACGAAAGUGGACGUAUACGGUGUGACGCCUGCCCGGUGCCGGAAGGUUAAUUGAUGGGGUUAGCGGUAACGCGAAGCUCUUGAUCGAAGCCCCGGUAAACGGCGGCCGUAACUAUAACGGUCCUAAGGUAGCGAAAUUCCUUGUCGGGUAAGUUCCGACCUGCACGAAUGGCGUAAUGAUGGCCAGGCUGUCUCCACCCGAGACUCAGUGAAAUUGAACUCGCUGUGAAGAUGCAGUGUACCCGCGGCAAGACGGAAAGACCCCGUGAACCUUUACUAUAGCUUGACACUGAACAUUGAGCCUUGAUGUGUAGGAUAGGUGGGAGGCUUUGAAGUGUGGACGCCAGUCUGCAUGGAGCCGGCCUUGAAAUACCACCCUUUAAUGUUUGAUGUUCUAACGUUGGCCCCUGACCGGGGUUGCGGACAGUGUCUGGUGGGUAGUUUGACUGGGGCGGUCUCCUCCUAAAGAGUAACGGAGGAGCACGAAGGUUGGCUAAUCCUGGUCGGACAUCAGGAGGUUAGUGCAAUGGCAUAAGCCAGCUUGACUGCGAGCGUGACGGCGCGAGCAGGUGCGAAAGCAGGUCAUAGUGAUCCGGUGGUUCUGAAUGGAAGGGCCAUCGCUCAACGGAUAAAAGGUACUCCGGGGAUAACAGGCUGAUACCGCCCAAGAGUUCAUAUCGACGGCGGUGUUUGGCACCUCGAUGUCGGCUCAUCACAUCCUGGGGCUGAAGUAGGUCCCAAGGGUAUGGCUGUUCGCCAUUUAAAGUGGUACGCGAGCUGGGUUUAGAACGUCGUGAGACAGUUCGGUCCCUAUCUGCCGUGGGCGCUGGAGAACUGAGGGGGGCUGCUCCUAGUACGAGAGGACCGGAGUGGACACAUCACUGGUGUUCGGGUUGUCAUGCCAAUGGCACUGCCCGGUAGCUAAAUGCGGAAGAGAUAAGUGCUGAAAGCAUCUAAGCACGAAACUUGCCCCGAGAUGAGUUCUCCCUGACUCCUUGAGAGUCCUGAAGGAACGUUGAAGACGACGACGUUGAUAGGCCGGGUGUGUAAGCGCAGCGAUGCGUUGAGCUAACCGGUACUAAUGAACCGUGAGGCUUAACCUUACAACGCCGAAG
rnacentral:rRNA from 1 species